rnacentral:tRNA from 1 species
GGUAGAGCAGCUGAUUUGUAAUCAGCAGGUCGGGGGUUCAAGUCCGUCCACCA